GGUAUACACUCAAUAGAGCUUUCAUUUUUGUGAUCUUGCUUGAAAAAAUAUGGAUAAUCAAAAAUAAUGCAAAUUACAGGCAGUGCCACUAAUUAUUUUAGAUAUGUAACAUUUGACCUAGAUUGAAUCAAUGUAAGUAUUAUCAAUUAUGUUGUGCAGAAAGUAUGAUUAUUUAAUUGUUUUCCAGAUGAGCAUGAUGCUAAUGAAACUAUUUUUGAUACUGUUAUAUUGGUAAACAAACCCAAAUACCUAGACAUGCAUACUUUAGUUAGAAAUAUAGUAUUAUUAUGUUUUUCCUAUGUAAACAUGUAUUAAAUUUUCACUAAACAGAAAAACCUCCAAAAAAUUAUGUUACCAAAUAUAUGCAAAACUCCAUUUUUAUUAAAAAAAUGAAGUUUAUUUUUGUUAUUGUGGUAAAAAUGUUUGUUUUAUAUUUUCUAUGAUAUGUAAACUUUUGACCCCAAUCGUACAUUUAAAUGUGAUUUUGUUGUUUUGGAUAUGGUUAUACAUAGUUGUUGGUUUUAACUGUUGGAAUACAGAGGUUAAAGGUCAAGGGCCACAGAUGUCACCCUUUUUUGAAAUAAUUUGUUUUAAGGGGGAGGCAUAUUAGACGUAGUUGUAUAAAUUGUCUUGUUUAUAUUUUUGUUAGCAAUUUAUACUAUAUACAUGUAAUUUUAAAGGUGAAUUUUAAGUGUUAGUUUUGGAGCCUGACAACCUUUUUUUUUGGGGGGGGGGGAGUAUUGAGAAUAUUCUCCAUAAUGUUGGUUAUAAUUGUUCUAUUUUAUCAACUUCCGUCACAUUGUUUGCGUUUUGUUUGAAACUGUUGGGUUUGAAAGUUCGAUCCUGUAAGAUAUGUUACAAUUUUCUUGUGCAUUAUAGAUAUUUCUGUUCAUGGUCAAGUAUUAAGUUGCAUUUGAAUGAUUGCUUUCUUAAAAUGUGUUAAUUGUAUGACAGAGAGUAAGUAAAAAAAAAUAUGAUUACAGAGAUUAUACGUUCCGUAUGAAAGUUAUAUCGAUCCGGUAAUAUUCCUGUGCCGUAUGGAUAUUAAUAGGUCAAGUGUAAAGAUGUAUAUGAAUGAUUGCUUUCCUAAAAUGUGUUAAUUGUACGUCAGAAAGUAAGGAAAUAUUUGAAAAAAUGUUAUUUACUAAGUUUAGAUUGUUGCAAGAAAUUAACAUUUGAAAUGUUUCACAAUAGGAGCAAAGUAUACACAUCUGGGGUAGAUUUAAUUUGUAAUGUUUUAUUUGUUGUGAAGAUUUUAGUAGUUAUUAGCACAGUUUAAAACAAAAUAUGUUAUAGUGCAUCCCAUAAAAAAGUACCCUGUACUCUUAUUUCCUCAUAAGGUAUAACUUACCAUGAAAGUAAUUAAGUUCUGUAUUAUUGAAGAGAAUAUAAGUUAAUCUUUAACAUGAAAUAAAACAAGGUCAUACAAUUUAUACAUAUAUAUAUAUGAUGCUUUUAAAUUUGGGUAUACUAUUUUUUUCUGUGAUGCAUGUGUAGUGUUUAACAUAUACAAUUGGAUCAACAAUACAAUGAUACAGAUGAAAAGUUGCAUAAAGUUGCUUCUAUUAGUGUUUAUAUUUGUAUUAAAGUAUUUUUUAAUAUA